CAAAAGACAUGUUUUAAAAAGUUUAAAAAGUUUAUUUCGUGUUUCAAAGUACAUAUAGUCAUAAAAAAAAGACAUACAGAGAGCUUUUAAAUCCUGUGGUUCAUGGUUCAGCCAAUGAGAGUGGAAUUACACUUGAGUUCUCACCAGACUUUCCAGCUUCCAAAAUUCUAGCUAUCCAUCUACGUCCAUCAAACCAGCCAUCCAUCCAUCCAACAGGUUUCUAUCCAACCAACUCUAUAUCUUGAAAUCCUUCUAUCCAUCCAUCCAUCCAUCCAUCUACUGAGGUUCCUCUCUAUCUUCUCAUCCCUGCAUCCAUAAUACCUCCAGUGCAGAUCCCUCUCUGUUUUGGCUGCAUGG